UACGGGGUGCAGCAGGCGCUGAAACCUUCACAAUGCUCGAAAGAGUGAUGAGGGUACUCCGAGUGUCUAUGCUUUGCAUAGUCUUUUCUUCAGCGUAAACAGUUGGAGGAAUAAGGGCUGGGCAAGACCGGUGCCAGCCGCCGCGGUAACACCGGCAGCCCAAGUGGUGACCGUUUUUAUUGGGCCUAAAGCGUCCGUAGCCGGAUAGGCAAGUCUUUGGGUAAAUCCUACGUCUUAAGCGUGGGAAUUCUAAGGAUACUACCUGUCUUGAGGCCGGGAGAGGCUAGAGGUACUUCUGGGGUAGGGGUAAAAUCCUAUAAUCCCAGGGGGACCACCGAUGGCGAAGGCAUCUAGCUGGAACGGGCCUGACGGUGAGGAACGAAACCCAGGGGAGCGAGCCGGAUUAGAUACCCGGGUAGUCCUGGGCGUAAAUGAUGUGGGCUUGGUGUGAGGGCAUCGAUGAGGUGCCCUUGUGCCGUAGGGAAGCCGUUAAGCCCACCGCCUGGGGUGUACGGUGGGCAAGGCUGAAACUUAAAGGAAUUGGCGGGGGAGCAC
rnacentral:rRNA from 1 species